GAGAUCAAUGCUGCCGAUCCGACGCUCUUCGCGUCCCUCGCUGACGUCGCUGCCGGUGUGCGGCCGGUGGCGCCACGGUGUGCACCCGGUCCGCUCGGCAUUUGUGCACACUGCCGUCCUUCGACAAGCCAGCACACCAUCGACUCGUCCCUCGGGCACCGCCAACGGCGGCUUUGGCAGUAGCGGCGUCCGUGACGGCAGUGCACCAGCUCCUCCUAGCAGAGGCGACGGUGCUGCGGUGGCGCCGCAGCCGCCGUCGCCGCAGGGCGUGAGCCCCGAGCUCUGCUUCUACGAGACGUUCAUCUUGUCCGAUGUCGACGUGCAUCUUACCCUCCUCGAGGAGGCGCACUACAAACACGGCGUGUGGCUCAACGUGCCACCGCAGCUCGCGCCCUCCGUCCCAAACGUCGGCCCACCCGCCGUGCCGGAGCCCAUCUACCCAUCGGCACAGCGGGAGCGACUAGCGGCCAUGACGGCGGCCAUGACGGCAGUGCAGAACAAGCGCGGCCGAGGCGCCAGCGGCGGCGGCUGCGCGACGGAUGCGGAGCUCAUAGUAGAGCCGUCGUGCCUUGCCUACCGCCCCACCCACGACCCGCCGCCCUUCUCCACGACUGGCACGCGCUCGCUAAGGAUUCCAGAGCAAAGGCGGGCGGCAGCAGAAGCAGCCGCCCCGAGCACAAGCGACGCCGUCUCCCGUGUGUCUCCACCUGCACCGUCUUCCGUGACAGCGUCAGCGGCAGAGGCGAGCUUCGCGGAAGGCACCACCACCACUACCACACGCAGCAUGCAUGCGGAAGUACAGACAGUUGCCAUACGCAUGCCGGUGGUCCCGUCAAUGCUGUACCACUGCAGUGCGUGCAGUCGCCCGUUUAGGCGACGCCAGGCCGCAGAGGAGCACGUGCAGCAGCGCCACGAGUCGCGCGGCAACUGCAGCGGCGCUAGCGCCGCUGCAGUUGUGAUGGAGGGCCCGGGGCCUGGUGAGAUCAUCGGAUACGAGGAGAAGGCCGUCGCCGUGGCGACCACCAAGACGGCCGCUGCAGCCCGCGUGACAAGUCCUUUGCCAAUGAAAGCGGCGGCGAAGGCGAAGGGGAUGGAGGCGAGCGCUGAAGUCGCGACCACCAAGGGCGUCGCCGGCGCCUCAAGUGCUGUCAAGCCCUCCGCCUUUUAUCUCGCUGCUAACUACCGCGCGACACUGCGAGUUGACCUCCCGGAGGACGAUCUUAUCGACGAACUCCUCGAUGUCGUCUGGGACGACGUGGCGCUGGCGCGAGACGACAUCGCGAAGCCAUCUGAUCUUCCCACAACACGAGCCGAUCUCCCGCAACACCCGAAGCGGAGCUACGAUAGCUGCCAAGGCCGUUUUUUCAUCCCCAGUGUGCUCAUCGUGGAGGGCGUCGCCGACAACCGCGCUCAGCUGGAGGCGGCGGCGGAGCGGGCCGUUGUGCGAGCCACGCCAGAUGGCGCCGCGCCAGGCAUCAAGCGUCGGCCUUCGUCUGCGAUGUCGGUGUUUUUGCCAUCCACGAUGGCUCCCCGCCUGCUCCCAACGCAGCGGCGCAACGCCGACGGCACGCUCGGUGCUGGCGGCGCCGAUGCCGAUGCCGCCGGCGGCGGCAUCGGCGGUGGGGCUCUUGGGGCGGCGCCGACCGCGCAGGAGUUGUCUGUAGCGGAGCUCAGCCGCCACUACCCGAACCCGUUCGGUGACAGCCCAAACGCUGUGCUGAUGGAGUCGGAAAAGGAGCCAAUCAACCCCUUCGUGGACCUCGAGGGUCAGGCGGCUGCGGUGGCCGCCACGGCCCAUUCGGGUGCGGCGGACGGUAGCACCGCUGACGACGCUGUCUCUUCCCCGGCCACGAAGGAGAUGGAGUGGCUGUCGCGGUGGGCAGCGAGGCCGUACGCGUGUCCGCUGUGCCAACGACGCGCCUUGCCAGACUUGAUGAAGAUCAUGGCACCCCUGCUGCCCCCGUCAUUAGUGGCAGGCAGCGAGGCAACCGCCUCCGCGGCGUCGACUGCUGUUGUAUACGGUGACGGUCAAGGAGCUAGCCCGCACCUGGGGUCUGGUACGAAGCGGGCCGCUUCUACUGCUGCAGGGGAGACGACGGCUGCGACUGCAGGUGCCUCCACGUCGAGGCCAGCACGUUGUGUGCCGCCCUCAGGCUCCCUCGAGGACCAACCCUUGGUUGCGGAUGUUGAGGCGUGGAGCUGGUACGCCGAUCGGGUGCCGCGCUUCCGACUACUGGACUCCCUCGAAGACCACUUGCAGUCGAAGCACGCCGGCUACUGCGGCGGGAAUGACGAGGCAGCGGCUGCACUCGACGGUGACGAUGGCUGCACUGGCAGAGACGGGGACGACAGCCUCUCCGAGGCGGACUGGCAGCUCCUCUACCGCGUUGCCAGGCACCAGCAGCUGCUAGCGCGAGCCGAGUUGCUGGCGGUGCAGCAGGCGUACCGCGUCAUGUACCCCAAGCGGCACAGCACCUCUGCCGAGUCCUUUAGCCCCAUUAAGAGCGACGGCGCCGACCUCCCAAAUCAUGUCUUCGGCGAUGCUGGCAAGGACGGUGCCGAAAACGCGGCGAUUCGCGACGAGGCAAGCGGCGCGACGGGUGGCGCAUCCAUGGGCGGGUCGCCUACGUCGGGGCCUGCCAUUGGUGCCACGACUGCCGAUGGCACCGAUGCCCCUCAGGUGCACGUGCGAUCGGCUGUGAACACGGUCCUGAUCGGCACGGUGCGGGAUGUGCAGGAGGGCUUCCUUGGCGCGACCCGCAUUCUGCAGUACGUUCUGGCAGUGCGGAACACCUCUGCGGAGUCGUCGGGCUGUGCAUCUGCAGACGCGAUGGGGAGCCACGUGGACGCCAGCAACGGAGAGGAAGAAGGCGCAGGCGUGGACGAGGACCUGAUCGUUGUGCGCUGUGUCGGCGACCUCGUCCCUGUCGCGCUGCUGAAGCAGCAGGUUCGUUUGGGCUCCACCAUUUUCGUUGCCGGGUCGCUGCGGCUGAAUCGCAACGUUGACACGGUGUCGCGACGGUCGCACGCGUACCCGUAUGUGCAGGUGGUGCCGCCCCUUGGCUGCGUGCGUGUCUUGGAGGCGUAGCACGGCGUUCUUUAUCGACGUGUUUGAGGAUGUAUGUGCCGCCUCUCCCCCCUCCCCCUCUGUCGAAGUUCUUCUCUCACGACCCUCUCCGCCCUCUCUUCUUUUCGACUUCGAUUCCCUGUUGUUCUGCUGCUGCUCGUGCUCGUGCUGUGUCGUGUGGAUACCGGUCUUGAUGGGGACAGCUGUCGCUGAGUGCACUCCAAUGGAACAGGUGUGUUCGCGCCCACUUCCGUCGUGCAAGCGUUCUCCUCCUCUUCCCCCCUCCCUGUCGAUGGUGACGUGCGAGCGUCUGUGCUCACGUUGGUUGCGCAUGUGCAUGCGUCUGGCCUCGGUGCUCAUCGUGGCGGCGUUGAUCAGUUGUGAGGGUAGCCCCGCUAAGGCUCGAAUGAUAAGAAAGCUCUGCAUAGGAAGGCAUGCCGGACGGCACACGAGCACGCGCCAAGUUCGUGAAGAGGGAGCAGGCGCCGGCCUCGGCGGUGCCGUGUCUUCUCGUCUCUCUCUCUUGAAUACCCCCUCCCCCCUACACACACGCGCGCACAUAUAUAUAUAUAUAUAUGGUCGGAAUACUGUUUCACACGUAAAGGUCGAGGAGAGAUCGUUGCCGUGGUGCUUAAAGCCACGCAUGCGCAAG
rnacentral:misc_RNA from 1 species